rnacentral:rRNA from 1 species
ACGGAAGGCAGCAGUGGGGGAUAUUGCACAAUGGGGGAAACCCUGAUGCAGCGACGCCGCGUGAGUGAAGAAGUAUUUCGGUAUGUAAAGCUCUAUCAGCAGGGAAGAAAAUGACGGUACCUGACUAAGAAGCUCCGGCUAAAUACGUGCCAGCAGCCGCGGUAAUACGUAUGGAGCAAGCGUUAUCCGGAUUUACUGGGUGUAAAGGGAGCGUAGACGGCGUGGCAAGUCUGAUGUGAAAGCUAUGGGCUCAACCCAUAAACUGCAUUGGAAACUGUCAUGCUAGAGUGUCGGAGAGGUAAGCGGAAUUCCUAGUGUAGCGGUGAAAUGCGUAGAUAUUAGGAGGAACACCAGUGGCGAAGGCGGCUUACUGGACGAUAACUGACGUUGAGGCUCGAAAGCGUGGGGAGCAAACAGGAUUAGAUACCCUGGUA